CCUCCACUGUAGUUCAUCACGCAGAUGGGGUCGGUCUCCCUCCGCUCUCGCUGCCUUCAGCCGCCAGUAGACGCUCGAGUUGAUCUCGGCCUCGAGGUCCCAUGGCGGGCUUCCGGACAGCAGGCAGGCUGCAGUGAACGACACC